rnacentral:rRNA from 1 species
AAGUCGAGCGGCAAGGGGUAGCAAUACCCCUAGAGCGGCGGACUGGUGAGUAACGCGUGGGUGACCUACCCUUAGGUUGGGGAUAGCCAUUAGAAAUAGUGGGUAAUACCGAAUAUGGUUGUUUUGCUAUGGCGAGACAAAGAAAGGAGCCUUGGCUCCGCCUGAGGAUGGGCCCGCGUCCCAUUAGGUAGUUGGUGAGGUAAAGGCCCACCAAGCCCGAGAUGGGUAGCCGGCCUGAGAGGGUGAACGGCCACACUGGGACUGAGAUACGGCCCAGACUCCUACGGGAGGCAGCAGCUAAGAAUAUUCCGCAAUGGACGAAAGUCUGACGGAGCGACGCCGCGUGUACGAAGAAGGCUGAAAGGUUGUAAAGUACUUUUCUUGCUGAAGAAUAAGCGUGGGAGGGAAUGCCCGCGUGAUGACGGUAAGCAAGGAAUAAGCCCCGGCUAAUUACGUGCCAGCAGCCGCGGUAACACGUAAGGGGCAAGCGUUGUUCGGAAUUAUUGGGCGUAAAGGGCGCGUAGGCGGUUAUGUAAGUCUGGCGUGAAAGGCAGGGGCUUAACUCCUGGACUGCGCUGGAAACUGUGUAACUUGAGUCAUGGAGGGGGAGUUGGAAUUCCUGGUGUAGGGGUGAAAUCUGUAGAUAUCAGGAAGAACACCGGUGGCGAAGGCGAACUUCUAGCCAAUGACUGACGCUGAGGCGCGAAAG